GGUAAGGUGGCUCAGUGGUAGAACGCUUGCCUUGCAUGCAUGAGGCCCUGGGUUCGAUUCCCUAGCACCA
rfam:Dipodomys ordii contig_28586, whole genome shotgun sequence.